rnacentral:lncRNA from 1 species
UCUCAAGGCAGAUCCUGAGGUGCGGUGAGUAAGGAAAGAAUUGGGGUGAUGAUAACGAAAGAGAACGGUUCAGGAAUUUGAUGGAAUUGAUAUUUUUCAAUUAUCCCAGUAGUAACAAUCAACAUAACUCCAUAUGUGGGCACCUAUCUAUAAUCCAAGAAUUUGGAAGCGGGAGGCAAGACAAUCAGCUGUUCAGAAUUUGAGUCAUUCCUGCCUACUUGAGAGCCUAUCUCAGAGCAAAAGCAAAAAAGACAGAACAAAAUGAUACACAAACUACAGAAGAAAUACAAACAAAGUGUGAGCAACAAAAGAAACAGCAUGAACAGAAGAUAAACUAUUCUGGAGCAUAGGCAAGCUGAAGAAUUUUGGAAAACAAAAAAGCAACAUUUUCACAUGGAAACUAAAAACUAGGACUGCUACUCUGAUCAAAGGAGGAAAGAGGCCGUACAAAGUUCUGAAGCACUCGUCUGCUUCAGUGCUCUGCAGUCUCUACGGAGACAUUUCACCACUCAGCUGUGGGAAUGAAGGAGAAGACGAGAAGGCAUGUGUCUUUCAUCACCACACCUUCUAGAGUACAACGACCUGUUAGAAUGAAAGGGUGUGGUGAACACAACUCUUCAUUCUGACAGACAAAAAUGUUUGGGAAAAUAGGGCAACCCGUGAACAGUGACAUUCUUGAAGAAAACUCGCUCUCUCUUACCCAUCAUUAACUGACAAUAGUUUUUAGCUAGGUGUUGGCCUUGCUAUCCAGCAACCACACACACACA